rnacentral:lncRNA from 1 species
UACAUUAGCUCGUCACUGAGGCUCUGAUGUGUGUCUUCUAGGGUCUUUGGUCACCAGGCAACCUUGAAACAUAAUUCCUCAAGAGAUGAUGGAGGCAGAGACAGAGGCCACCACCCUGCUCCCCGCUAAGCCCCAAAUGACCACUCCUUACACAAGCUCCAGUUGGGAGGUACCGCUGACUGGGCUUGGUUGGUGGAAGCAGGAUUCUUUCUCCCUGGGGCAGACUCAGACCAGACUCAAGCUCCCACCAGCGUCCACAGCAGUCCAGCUUCCCCUCACUACACAGGAGAACAAGUAUACACAUGGGUAUUCUGAGAGCAUAAACUGAGGCAGAAUUUGUGGAGGACGAUCUGACAGUGUUUAUUAAAAUUAGAAGUGUGGAGAGCCUUCUGGCCCUUUCCAGCCAGCAAUUCCAUCCCAUGUGUUCACCUAAGAAAUACUGACAUACGAGUGUAAAGAGGAAUGUCCAGGAAUAUUCACUGAAGUGUUCUUUGUAAUCAGCAAACAAUGGAAAAUAACUUAAUUAUCCUAAAAAAUAGUUCCCUUCAUAAUAUGGAAUACUAUGCAUCAAGUAAAAAGAAUGGAAAAGAACUAUAUGUAUGCCAAUAUGAAAAGAUUCUCAAAACAUUUUAAGAGAAAACAAAAAACAAGUUGAAAAACCAUAUGAAUCAUCUGAUUGAAUUCAUAAAAAAUUAAACCAUAUGUCUCUAUGUAUACACACAGGCAUGAUCCAGGAUGAGUCACACCAAUCUGAGACCGGUGGCUGUGCUGUGUCCAUCAGGUGGCUGAUGGCUGGUUCCCCCUCAGCCCUCUCCAGCCAGAAAGAUGACUGUGGGCCAGAGAGCCCCAGGAUGCCAGGACAGUGCUGUCACAUCCACCUGCCGAAGGGCCCCUGGCGGACGCAAAUGACUGGGUUGGGCGAGGUGCUAAGCCCAGCACACAUCCCUGGAGGCCCUGGAGCUGAGGUGGAGUGUGCUGGGGCUCCAGCAGCCCCAGGCACACUCCUGAGGGUUCAGGUAUCCAUAUGAAGAGCGCAGGCCACUGGCCUGCCCGUGGAGAGUCCCGAAAUAAUGGCACCGCUCCUCAGUCAUCAUGAAAAGGAUCAUGUUUUAGGUUUUAAGGGUUCAGAUAAAAUUAGAAGGUGCAAAGCACAGAUUAUUGCUUGAUGAGUACAGUUUCCCAGGUGAUGAAAAUGUUGUGGAAAUAGAUGGCAGUGAUGGCUACACAACACUGAAUGUACUGAUGCCACUGAACCGUACACUUAAAAAUGGUUACAAUGGUAAUUGUUGCGUAUAUUUUGCCAUAAUAAAACACACACACACACACACACACACACACAAAUAAAAAUUAAAAGUUGCUUAAAAGAGGUAAGCUGUCAAUUGUCUGAAAAACGGGGUCCUCCAGAUGAGUGGUUCCCUCAGUCUGGCCAGAGGCCAGUCCCCACGUGCCUCCGUGUCUCCAGGAGUCUAGGUUAGUGUUUU